rnacentral:misc_RNA from 1 species
GAUGAAGAACGUAGCGAAAUGCGAUAAGUAAUGCGAAUUGCAGAAUUCCAGUGAGUCAUCGAAUCUUUGAAUGCACAUUGCGCCCUUUGGUAUUCCGAAGGGCAUGCCUGUUCGAGCGUCAUUAUCACCCCUCAAGCCCUCGGCUUGGUGUUGGACGGUUUGGUGGAGGCCCCCUCGGGGGCUCCUGCCCCUCCCAAAGACAAUGACGGCGGCCUCGUUGGACCCCCGGUACACUGAGUUCUUCACGGGACACGUAUCGGACACAUGGGUUUACGGGACACGGUCUGCCUCCCCUCAGGGAGAAUCUUUCUAAGGUUGACCUCGGAUCAGGUAGGGAUACCCGCUGAACUUAAGCAUAUCAAUAAGCGGAGGA